rnacentral:misc_RNA from 1 species
GAUGAAGAACGUAGCGAAAUGCGAUAAGUAGUGUGAAUUGCAGAAUUCAGUGAAUCAUCGAAUCUUUGAACGCACAUUGCGCCCCAUGGUAUUCCGUGGGGCAUGCCUGUUCGAGCGUCAUUUACCCCCUCAAGCUCCGCUUGGUGUUGGGCGUCUGUCCCGCUUCGCGCGCGGACUCGCCCCAAAGGUAUUGGCAGCGGUCGUGCCAGCUUCUCGCGCAGCACAUUGCGCUUCUCAAGGCACCGGUGGGCCCGCGUCCAUCAAGCUCACCCCCCCAGUUUGACCUCGGAUCAGGUAGGGAUACCCGCUGAACUUAAGCAUAUCAAUAAGCGGAGGA